rnacentral:rRNA from 1 species
GACGAACGCUGGCGGCGUGCCUAAUACAUGCAAGUCGAGCGGACGAAUCGAAAGCUUGCUUUUGAUUCGUUAGCGGCGGACGGGUGAGUAACACGUGGGCAACCUGCCCUGUAGACGGGGAUAACACCGAGAAAUCGGUGCUAAUACCGGAUAACACGAAAUGUCGCAUGACGUUUCGUUGAAAGACGGCGCAAGCUGUCGCUACAGGAUGGGCCCGCGGCGCAUUAGCUAGUUGGUGAGGUAACGGCUCACCAAGGCGACGAUGCGUAGCCGACCUGAGAGGGUGAUCGGCCACACUGGGACUGAGACACGGCCCAGACUCCUACGGGAGGCAGCAGUAGGGAAUCUUCCGGAAUGGACGAAAGUCUGACGGAGCAACGCCGCGUGAGCGAAGAAGGCCUUCGGGUCGUAAAGCUCUGUUGUUAGGGAAGAACAAGUAACGCAGUAACUGGCGUUACCGUGACGGUACCUAACGAGAAAGCCAGGGCUAACUACGUG